rnacentral:rRNA from 1 species
UUUCCAGACUCCUACGGGAGGCAGCAGUGGGGAAUAUUGCACAAUGGGGGAAACCCUGAUGCAGCGACGCCGCGUGAGUGAAGAAGUAUUUCGGUACGUAAAGCUCUAUCAGCAGGGAAGAAAAUGACGGUACCCGAUUAAGAAGCCCCGGCUAACUACGUGCCAGCAGCCGCGGUAAUACGUAGGGGGCAAGCGUUAUCCGGAUUUACUGGGUGUAAAGGGAGCGUAGACGGCAGCGCAAGUCUGGAGUGAAAUGCCGGGGCCCAACCCCGGAACUGCUUUGGAAACUGUGCAGCUCGAGUGCAGGAGAGGUAAGCGGAAUUCCUAGUGUAGCGGUGAAAUGCGUAGAUAUUAGGAGGAACACCAGUGGCGAAGGCGGCCUGCUGGACUGCAACUGACGUUGAGGCUCGAAGGCGUGGGGAGCAAACAGGAUUAGAUACCCCAGUAAAU